AACAGCUACAGUCUGUUGUCAAGGAAUGUGGGUUUGAAGAGCCCAGCACAGUUCUGCUGGCAUUCCCCAGGCAGCCUUAAUAACUGUGGAAGCCUCAAUGCUCCUGCUCACCCUUUUUCACUCGGCACCUUCUCUGAAGCACCUGAAGGAAGCAAAGCACACACCCAGCUUGGGUUUCACUGAGAGUUUUCUGCAGGGUGAAAGCUGAGAGGUGCCUGCAUUGUGUGGGGACCUGGCAAUGAACACCCUGAGGACAAAGGGCUGCAAUUGUCUUUUUUAAUCCUUAAAAUGGGUAAACAUGCUCUGUUAAUGGCUCCUUUGUUGACUGAGCAGUUUCACACCUGUGGGACCCCUCAUUCCAUGAGCCCCAAGAAAAGAAGAAAGGAAUGAGGUGGGCUGCUUCCCCCCUGCCCUUCCUACCAGAGGAAGCCCUGGGCAGGGGAGUUCAGUGCCAGGAGACCACCAAGCUCAGGCCAGCCUGCCCCUGUCACAUAUGCACCCUCCUUGCAGCCACCCCUGGAGACAGGGGCGGGGGACACAGAGCCACGGGAAGGAUCCAGGGCAGUUAAACUGAUAUCUGUGCUGGGCAUAUAGACACCGCCCUAAGCUUGUAAUUCACUGGGAGGCAGGAGAGAUUCCACGUGGCUUCUGUAAAUGCAUCUCAAGCACCUCGAGAUCUUUGAGGAAAGGGGCAGAGGCUUCAUGGGCUUCCACAAGGUAUGGGACAAGGCUCUUAGCUCUCAGAAGCCUUUCAACAAGACUGAAGGUCUCCCCCAGGCAGUCAGUUGGUUCAAAGGAAAAGGCAGCAACGGCAAAAAGGCCACAUAACAAAUGGGAAUCGAUGGGCAGUUUUCCCAAUAGCAAAUAGCAAAGGGACAAGAACCCAUGAUGGCAAAAAGUUAGUUAAAGCAGCCAAAACACAACUGAAUGUAAAGAGCACCAGGAAAAAUGUGCUAAACAAAAAGUAAAGCAUGUCAAAGUCCCCAAAAAAGCAAUGCCUAUGGAGAAAACACACACUGUGCACCACACCAGGCAUCCACACCAGCCCCUUUCCUCGGGCUAACCUGACCCUCCUAGAGGGAAACCAGCUGACAUUUAUCAAGGGCCCUACUCUCCCUGAACUAACCUGACUGGGUAAGAUGAUGCCUUAGCCAUCAUGUGCCUUCCAGCUUUAAAUCUUUCCACAGAGAGAGAACCCACUAUGAACCUCACUGAACUGUUGACUCAGUUCAGGACUUUGUGAUAAAUGUGAAUGAGUACUGAUCUCCACUUUGAACUGCUCUGGCUUUAACGAGUGGCCUGUUGUAGCCCACUGUCCUCUGGAUCAGAAAGCUCUCCCGCUCCAGCCUUGCACUGACAUCACAGCAGCCCUGGCAGAGGCAGCCACCUCCACCCUGGCUGGCUGGGGAUCAGCCAUCUCCUUCCAGUCAAGAAUCUGAAUCACAUUCACCAACUGCUGCCAUUUAAGGGUUGACAAAUCAAGUCCUUUGGUUUUCAAUCUGUCCCCGUGGAUUUCUGUACUGGUUUUGUUAAAUCAGGUGACAUACCUUGCAGUAUCAACUCAAAUGCCUUGCAGAAGCUAAGCAGCACAGCAGCAUGUUAUCAGCUCAUCUGCAACAGAAAAAUAUCACGUUGGGCUGAUAACAUCUAUUUUCCACAAGCUUACAUCCCCUGACCCACUGCAGAGUUUAAGAUCUAUGUUAAUGUACAGCUAUGUGACCUGUCACCUUUAUCCUUUAAAGUGGAGCUCAACAGAAUUUCCCAGGUCUUUCCCACGGGACUUGCCUUGGCUCAGAUUUACCAUCUCCUGCUUGGCUCUUGUUAGGACACAAUCAAUAGGAACUAGACCACUGAGCAGUCAGGGUGGGAUGAGGGGCAGUCAACGGGGCAUCCAAGAGCCCCUUCAGCAGUGGGGAACUCUGGGUUUCCCUGGACAGAUAAUGCAUCAGCAGAGGAAAAAUAACCAAUCAAUGGCAGUGAAGAGAGUCCUGCAGGAAGACAAACUUGCAUGGUGAUGAUCUGCAUUGCUGUAACAUCUGCAUGAGGGGCCAGUGUCAGGGCAGUGCUGUGUAGCACCCGCUGAAGGAGCUGAGCUGAUGACAGGAGUUGCCUUUAUUUAGCAGAUCCCAAAGCCACAGACCAAUGUGCCAGGAGAGUCAGAAAGAUCCAUGGCUCAGUGGAGCACACCUUAGGCUGGCUCUGCACUGCAGGAGGCCGACUGCACUGAACACAGCAAUAGGAGAGAGCAAUAUCCUCCUGUCUUCCAAGAAAAACAAACCAUUAUGCACAAAUUCCAAAGGGAUUUCUUUCUCCUUUGCAUUUAAAGAGAAGAGACUGGAUUUAUUUGGGUUUUCUCCCCAUCUGGUGCACAUUCACAGUAAGAAUGAGUUUUGUUUCCAAUACACAUGUUGGACCAAGACCUCAGGCAGAAAGAAAACUGCAUUUGGAGAAGCCCAGAGCCAGUUCCCGCUUCUGGCACUGCCACAGACAGCACAAAGCAGCCAAACAAACCGGGAUUCAAGAGGAUAGCAUACCUUGCUUGGCCUGAGGAUGUCGUACUCGGAUUCUGAAGGAGGAAAGAUGGAGUUAGCAGAGGGAAAAAGAAACAUGAAACAUGCUGAGAAGACUACACGACCCAACACCUGAUCACAAACGCGUGGGAAAAAUAACCCUCCCCUCCACAUCCUCUGUCUGUAUGCUGAAGGAAGACCUUUAGCUGCGUGUAACUCACUGGACUUUGUCCUCAGAAGAUAAAAAUAUUUGAAAAGGAAUAUUUAACUCCUAUCCAAGGGAGCUCCUCAGUGCCUCCUGACUGCCAUGCACACUGCAGCCGUGUCUCGCUGGUUAGGAAACGGAGAUGAUCCAAGCGUUACAUUUCAAGGUGAAUACGUGCGUAACCACGCAGUCCCGUGUCACAACCAAGCACAGGCUUUAGCCAGCCCAAGUUAUUCUUUCUAUGGCUGACUCCAGCCAGCAAACAGCCCCAAGGGCUUCAGUGGCCGCCCUCUCUGUUGAGUUUCCCUCUGGAUUCCUGCUCUCAGCGUGCAGCUCUGCGUUGGGCAACCGCUACUGAGGCAGAGCCGAGCCUGCUCCGAGCCAAGCCAGGGCAGAAGUGGGCUGCAAGGCACAUGUUUACCUCUCAGAAGGGAUUCUAUUUAUUACCAGUUCCCUCUCCCCAUCCCAUUUCAAAGGCAGU